GUGAGGGAGUGGGUGACUAGUGACAGAGGGAGGGAGAGGGGGUGACUAGUGACAGAGGGAGGGAGAGGGGGUGACUAGUGACAGAGUUAGGGAGGGAAGAGGUGACUAGUGACAGAGUGAGGGGAUGACUGGUGACAGAGGGAGGGGUGACUGUCACUAGUCACCCCAUCCCUCUCUGUCACUAGUCACUCCCUCCCUAACUCUGUCACUGUGUCACCCACUCCCUCACUCUGUCACUAGUCACCCCCUCACUCACUCUGUCACUAAUCACCCCUCUGUCCCUAGUCACCCCAUCCCUUCCUCUGUCACUAGUCACCCCAUCCCUCCCUCUGUCACUAAUCACCACCUCCCUCAC